rnacentral:misc_RNA from 1 species
AGCAGCCGCGGUAAUUCCAGCUCCAAUAGCGUAUAUUAAAGUUGUUGCAGUUAAAAAGCUCGUAGUUGAAUUUCGGGAUCAGUACGCUGGUCAUGCCUUUGGUAUGUACUGGUGUCACUGGUUCCUACCUUCUGACGAACCGUCAUGUCAUUUAUUUGGUGUGGCGGGGAAUCAGGACUGUUACUUUGAAAAAUUGAGUGUUUAAAGCAGGCUCGCGCUUGAAUACAUUAGCAUGGAAUAAUGAAAUAGGACGUUUGAUCCUAUUUUGUUGGUUUCUAGGAUUGACGUAAUGAUUAAUAGGGAUAGUUGGGGGCAUUAGUAUUCAAUUGUCAGAGGUGAAAUUCUUGGAUUUAUUGAAGACUAACUACUGCGAAAGCAUUUGCCAAGGAUGUUUUCAUUAAUCAAGAACGAAAGUUAGGGGAUCGAAGA